rnacentral:rRNA from 1 species
AUACGGAGGGUGCAAGCGUUACUCGGAAUCACUGGGCGUAAAGCGCGCGCAGGCGGUCUUUUAAGUUGGAUGUGAAAGCCUACGGCUCAACCGUAGAACUGCAUCCAAAACUAUUAGACUAGAGUGUGGGAGAGGAAGAUGGAAUUAGUUGUGUAGGGGUAAAAUCCGUAGAGAUAACUAGGAAUACCAAAAGCGAAGGCAAUCUUCUGGAACACUACUGGCGCUGAGGCGCGAAAGCGUGGGGAGCAAACAGGAUUAGAUACCCGGGUAGUCC